UUCUAAGUAAAAAUAAAGCAUGUUUUAGAGUGGGAGGAAAAACAAAUUGAUAUGUAAGAACUGAAAACUGCAAUAAUUGCAAUAAAAAAUUCGCUAGAUGGGCACAAUUACAGAAUGGAGAUGACAGAGGAGUCAUUGAACUUUAAGAUCAAUAUCAAAAUCAAUAUAUGUUACCCACUCGAAUAACAGAGAAGAACAACUGAAAAAAGUUAUCAGAGCUUUAUGUACCUGUGGAACAAUUUCAAAGGAAUAAAAUGUAUGUCUUUGGAGCCCCAGAAAAAGAGGAGACACUGGUAUAGGUAACUAUUGAAAGAAAUAAAGGAUGAAUUGGCAAAGGCAUGGCUGUAGUGAUUCAAGAAGCUUAGUAGACCCCAAACAAGAUAAACUAAAAUAAGCAAACAAACAAAAAGCUGUCCAGAUGCAUUAUAACCAAACAGCUGAAAAUUAAAAAUUUUUGAGAGAGAAAAAUGUUGCAUUACAUAUAAAGGUAAAAUGAUUCUAAUGAUUAUGGAUUUCUUAUCAUAGAGGCCAGAAAGCAGCUGAACAAAGAAAUAUCAACCUGGAAUUCUAUAUUCUGUUAAAUAUCUUUCAGGAAUGAAGGCAUUCUCAGAUGAAGGGAAAAUAAGAGAAUUUGUUACCAAUGUAUGUGCUUAAAAAAAAAAAAAGCUAAAAAACACGUUGUUCAGAUAGAAGGGAAAUGACACCAGAGGGACACCUGAAACUUCAGAAAUGAAGAAAGCAACAGAAAUAACAAAUAUAUGGGAACAUCAUGAGAAGCCAGAGUUCUUUGGAGAAGACUACUGUGCUGAGGAAAACAAGGCAGCAGGACAGGAGGAAAACCACACAUGACAUAAGAAGCCACAGGCAUGAGUCUACAGGAGCCGAGACUCAUUCCUCACCAGGAGUCGGAGCUGGUUCAGCUGCAAGUAGCACAGGGCUGCCACAAAAAUGAGUGCAUGGGACCUCGUGGCUUAGUCUCGAGGAGCAUUCUGAGGGUCACUCUGAGGCAACGAUUUUCCUCCACUCCCUCACUGUCCUGGGCAGCAGCAGCCACCACAGGGUAAAUCGUGGAUUUAGGCAAGAAGGCAUCUAAAUGCUCAGCCAUCAACUUCACCCGACGGCUGGUUCUCCUCCGGUGACAGGAUGAUUGCUGAUUGUCCAGAGGCCGUUUGGUUCUCAUCCACAUCCAAGUAAAGAGACAGCUCUUCCCAGAGUAGCCACGCACACAGUACCAUGCAUGACAAAAGAAUAUUGAGCUCCUGACGCCAAACGCCUGCAUUCAGGUCCCUUCCCGGUUUUCUCCCAGGCUGAUGAGAGGGCAUUUGCUUGACGUGUCUGCACUGAAGAGCUUGCUCCAGGAGUUCUCAAGAAGGCCCAGUUUCGGUCCCAAAGGGGAAUCCACGUCUCCCAACUUCUGGGAGAAAUAAAAUUGGUAUAGUUUUCAAAUCACUCCCAAAGUCUCCCUGACUCCUUUUCCACUUUUACUCCUAAGGUUCCGUAACUUUUAGAGCUCAGUCUACGCAAGAGCAUGCAGCUUGUCCCCCCACCAUCUGCAUCUGUACCCAGGGCACCUGGAGAAGCUGAAUCCAGCAUGAAGACACGGAGCCCCAGGGAAAUCUGCUCGGGGUCUUUGGUGCUCUACAGCAGGAUAAAAGGAUGCCUUGCCUGGGCAGCCAGAUAGCCUCAGUGUAUGACAAUUUGGGUAGGCCAUGACAGUGACAAGAUACGGAUUCAAGAGCAUAUAUUCUGUUGUGUGACCCUCACAAAGUCACGCCCUCUUUCUUGGAACACUUUCUUCACUAAGCUUCUGGGACACCACACUCUCCAAACUCUCCCCUGUCUCCCUGCUGCUGCUUCACUUUCUCCUGCCAACCUCCUUUUCCUCCUAACCUCUGAAUAGUAUUUUGCCUCAGGGCCCUCUCUGGGACCAGUUUCUCAGGUAUGGUUUGAAGAACUCUGGAUUAGGCUCUACACUUGUGGAAUCAGCUCCUCCCACCCCUAAUAGCUUUGGACAAUUCAGAUAAAAUUUCCUCUCUCUCUCU